CGGCGGGAAGGUGGUCUUGUUUGGUCAUGUUGCGUCGUCCAUCUUUGGUUUGGUGUGUUUAUCGUGGUUUUCGUCAAGGUCGACAUAUCGACGACGUUCCGUUUGCGUGGUUUUGUCGUGCGUACAUGAGGCCGCGUACGCGAUUAACACGUGAGAACUGAAAAGCAAGUGACGAAGAAGAGGAACAGUGCCAAUGCACAUGGAUCGAGGUCGACCCCGUAAAGAUCGUAAGUAAUUCCUAAGUUGCUUUCUUAAGCGUACUUUGUUCUUUCGUAGCAGCUGAAGUAAUUGUUGCGUAGAUGUCGUUGUACGCUAUACUUUUCCUCUCGCUGUUUGUUGCGUGAUUGCUGUUCAACAACUCAGCAACUCCACGCACAGCUUACGGAGGCUUGUAAUGUGCGGUAUGUGUCUUAUCUAUGGGGUAUAUACCAUGACACCGUCAAGUGUUGUGACAUGUUCUUUUAACCGAUUGACUCCACUGUUGCGCAGUGACAGCUUCUUUUCAUUCAUGAACUAACUUUACUGUUUUAUAUGUUAAGUGCGAUUUCUUUUGUUUUUCUUUACUUUAUGUGUGUGCUUUACGUUGACUGCAAAGAUAUCAACAGGUCACAGUUUUGUAAGUGUGGGCUGCUUUACCAUGUGCUUGCUUGCAUUUGUUUUUGAGUUCACUUCAGUUAUUUUGGCUGACAAAAAUGUGUCUUUCGCGUCUUAUACCUUUUCAUCUUCCUGUUAAUGUUACAGAUGCUACGUGGGUGGUGCUGCGGCUGAGAAGAUUAUGUGUUGUGAACAAGAUUGCAUGUGCUGCAGCUCCAUGCAGAGUUGUCCUGCAGUGGCACAGGUAGACAAGGGUAUAUCUGUGCAAUGUUCGCUGUGCCAGCUGAAAGCGCAGGUGCAAAGUCAGCGACACCCAAGGGUUCUCCAGCGUAUGGGUCACGUCAUGAAUUCAACAACAAGCUCAUUAUGAAAUCUAGUUUAACUGGGCUGCCAAAUAAAAAUGUGUACAACCA